UAGAGUUUGAUCCUGGCUCAGAUUGAACGCUGGCGGCAGGCCUAACACAUGCAAGUCGAACGGUAGCACAGAGAGCUUGCUCUCGGGUGACGAGUGGCGGACGGGUGAGUAAUGUCUGGGAAACUGCCUGAUGGAGGGGGAUAACUACUGGAAACGGUAGCUAAUACCGCAUAACGUCGCAAGACCAAAGAGGGGGACCUUCGGGCCUCUUGCCAUCGGAUGUGCCCAGAUGGGAUUAGCUUGUUGGUGAGGUAACGGCUCACCAAGGCGACGAUCCCUAGCUGGUCUGAGAGGAUGACCAGCCACACUGGAACUGAGACACGGUCCAGACUCCUACGGGAGGCAGCAGUGGGGAAUAUUGCACAAUGGGCGCAAGCCUGAUGCAGCCAUGCCGCGUGUAUGAAGAAGGCCUUCGGGUUGUAAAGUACUUUCAGCGAGGAGGAAGGCGGUAAGGUUAAUAACCUUACCGAUUGACGUUACUCGCAGAAGAAGCACCGGCUAACUCCGUGCCAGCAGCCGCGGUAAUACGGAGGGUGCAAGCGUUAAUCGGAAUUACUGGGCGUAAAGCGCACGCACGCGGUCUGUCAAGUCGGAUGUGAAAUCCCCGGGCUCAACCUGGGAACUGCAUUCGAAACUGGCAGGCUAGAGUCUUGUAGAGGGGGGGUAGAAUUCCAGGUGUAGCGGUGAAAUGCCGUAGAGAUCCUGGGAGGAAAUACCGGGUGGGCCGAAGGCGGCCCCUGGACAAAGACUGACGCUCAGUGCGAAAGGCGUGGGGGGAGCAAACAGAUUAGAUACCCUGGGUAGUCCACGCCGUAACGAUGCUACCUCUUUGGGAGGUUGUGCCCUUUGAAGGCGUGCUUCCUGGAGCUAAACGCGUAAGUCGAUCGCCUUGGGGAGUUACGCUGCAAG
rnacentral:rRNA from 1 species